rnacentral:rRNA from 1 species
UACGGAGGGUGCAAACGUUGCUCGGAAUCAUUGGGCGUAAAGCGCACGUAGGUGGCCUGUUAAGUCGGGUGUGAAAUCCCUGGGCUCAACCCAGGAAGUGCACUCGAAACUGGCAGGCUUGAGUACUGAAGAGGAUCGCGGAGUUCCCGGUGUAGAGGUGAAAUUCGUAGAUAUCGGGAAGAACACCCGUGGCGAAGGCGGCUCUCUGGGACGGUACUGACGCUGAGACGCGAAAGCGUGGGGAGCGAACAGG